rnacentral:antisense_RNA from 1 species
GGCCCGCGCUCACCUUGAGGCCGCGGAUCUCGCCGAGGUGCAGCUGCAGGCGGCGGUUCACCUCGCGGAUGAGGUUGCUGUGGUCCAGCAUCGCGCUCACCUUCUCCGCCUCGGCGCGCCGCAGGCUGCGGAUCAGCUCCUCCUUGCUCCACUGCAGCAGCUCCUCGUCCGACACUUUGGACAGGUCCUCCACGGGCGCGGGCGCGGCCGCGGACGAGGCGGCCGGGGCUGGGGAACAACUUUCCGCCGCCGCCGCAGCCGCCGCCGCGCCUCCGGCCGCCUUCGACAUGGAGAAGAGCUAACCUUGGGUAGCUGCUGUUCCUUCAGUCUGAGCCACACACUCAGCCACCCCAGCCAACCUGAAGAUCUGCAGCAUGAAGCAGAGCCAUGCUCACAGACUCACAGAUCUGUGUGUGAGAAAACAAGACUGUUGUUUAAGCUACUGACUUUUGGGGAGAUUUAUUGUGCAGCAUUACUAACGCAAUAGUUAGCAGAUACAACUCCCAUGCCUAAAUCCCUUUGGUGGCAUCUCAGCACCUUUCUGCGGAGUGAAGCUACAUUUCUUAGCAGAGCAUAUAAGAUGGACACAGUCUGAUGCUUGCUUACUUUUUCAGCUCCACCUCCUACCAUACUUUGCCUCAUAUUUCAUACUUUUUCAGUUCUAAACUGCCUGUAGCUCCCUGUCAGCAUUCAGUAUACCUCCGUACCACACUGAUGCUCUUUUCUCAUGCAUGGAAUGCCUUCCUUGCCUUAUCCUUCUGAAUAACUUCCAACCAGAUCCUUCAAAAGGCAUCAUCUUAUCCAGAGUGCUGGCAUCAGCCCACAUUUCCCUGGCGGAGGCAAAGGUACUAUGGCAGAAAUGGCCAGGGAAGGGUUUAUCUAACCACCAGGAGUACGCAAAGAAGAGAGGUCCAGCCAGCCUGCCUCUCAGAUUGUUAAGAUGCCAGGUGUCUUUUGGCUCAUGGAAACAGCUGUUCUGCCCCCUCCCGAACCCUAGACUCACAGCUACACUCUGUGGGGAAAGCACAAAGGGAAGGCUGCUUCCUAAAGAGAUCUCCAUAUGGAAGAGCUGCAGAUCACAAACAACCCACACAGCCAUUGUAACGCCUGCUUGCCUGGUCAUUUGUGUUUCUGAGAAGCCAUAACUCCAAGAAUAGCGAAGGGAAGAAAAUGCUAAAAAGCAGGGGCUGCCUAACAGGUCUGACUUGCAAGGCAAACUCCUGGCAGGCCUGGCCAGCUUCUGCUUGUCCCAGUGCAAUGCCACCCCCAUAGGAUCUGGAAUUUUUCAGUCCCUUUGCUAAGAUUCCUGAAAUAGACUUAAUGAAGAGCCUCCGAAGUGAAAAUUCCUCUUCACACAUUUGCUCAAGAAGAUUGCUUUUCUCCUAACACAGAAAUCAGCUGCCUUGAGGAUGUGCAAGUUUGAUUAGGGAGUCUGCUCUUGCCUAUUUCUCAAACAGUUCAGGCCCUGACAGAAUCAGUGUCACCCCUAAGAUAUUUGCUUCAAAUGCCCCCCAUAUAAUCAACACUUAUAAAUGAUAAACCAAAAGUUGAGGUACACUCAUUGCCUUUCAGAAUGAAACCUUCCAAGGGGCCAUGAUCCUAUUGUGACUGGACAAGA